rnacentral:rRNA from 1 species
UACGUAGGGGGCAAGCGUUGUCCGGAAUUAUUGGGCGUAAAGCGCGCGCAGGCGGUCCUUUAAGUCUGAUGUGAAAGCCCACGGCUCAACCGUGGAGGGUCAUUGGAAACUGGGGGACUUGAGUACAGAAGAGAAGAGUGGAAUUCCACGUGUAGCGGUGAAAUGCGUAGAGAUGUGGAGGAACACCAGUGGCGAAGGCGACUCUCUGGUCUGUAACUGACGCUGAGGCGCGAAAGCGUGGGGAGCAAACAGG